UCCUGCUGCUGGGAGCCUGAGUGCCA
rnacentral:piRNA from 1 species